rnacentral:rRNA from 1 species
GAUGAACGCUAGCGACAGGCUUAACACAUGCAAGUCGAGGGGCAGCGGGGGUAGCAAUACCCGCCGGCGACAGGCGCACGGGUGAGUAACGCGUAUGCAACUUACCUAUCAGAGGGGGAUAACCCGGCGAAAGUCGGACUAAUACCGCAUGAAGCAGGGGCCCCGCAUGGGGAGAGUUGCUAAAGAUUCAUCGCUGAUAGAUAGGCAUGCGUUCCAUUAGGCAGUUGGCGGGGUAACGGCCAACCAAACCGACGAUGGAUAGGGGUUCUGAGAGGGAGGUCCCACACAGUGGUACUGAGACACGGAACAAACUCCUACGGGAGGCAGUAGGGAGGAAUAUUGGUCAAUGGGCGCGAGCCUGAACCAGCCAAGUCGCGUAAGGGAUGAAGGUUCUAAGGAUCGUAAACCUCUUUUAUAAGGGAAUAAAGUGCGGGACGUGUCCUGUUUUGUAUGUACCUUAUGAAUAAGGAUCGGCUAACUCCGUGCCAGCCGCCGCAGUAA